rnacentral:pre_miRNA from 1 species
AAUAAGUGCAGUUUUGCACUAUUUAUGUUCAACGUUUGACCGUCCGUCUUAUUUGAAAAUUUUUUAUGAUUAUUAUUUUUAUUGCUAUUAGAUGAUAAAACAUGAAUAAUACUUUAUGUGUGACUAAAUGUUUUUAAUUUUUUCACAAAUUUUUCAAAUAAGACGGACGGUCAAACGUUGAACGUGAAUAGUGCAAAACUGUACUUAUU